AUGGGCCCUGCCCCCUUGCAGUGGCCUGCAGCUGGAAUUGCCAGAUACGAUCCGAAGGUCCAGGUACUUCUGCAAUUUCAGAUAAAUGAUCUGCUGCCACCUCUCUGUCAGAUGACUUUUCCGAAAGAGGUGAGGAAGGAACAGAUGACAGAGCCGGACAGUGAACAGGGAGGCUCUCCUUGCAUCCUGCUCCUCCUGAGCCUGCCUCACCAUCCCCACACCCACGGUGGGUGCUCAGUUUGCAGAAGAAAGAGAAGAAGGAAGAUGAGGGAGAAGGGACAAGAGUGCCAGCCAGGGGACAUGGGACUCCCAGAAAUAAGAAGCAUGGCGAGUAUUUCUUUUUUUUACCUUUUUGGUUUUUUAGGGCUAUGUCUGCGGCAUAUGGAGGUUCCCAGGUUAGGGGUUGAAUCGGAGCUGCAGCUGCUGUAUCUGAGCUGUGUCUGCGACCUACACCACAGCUCACGGCAACGCCAGAUCCCCAAGACACUGAGCAAGGCCAGGGAUCGAACCCGAGUCCUCAGAAAUGCUAGCUGGGUUCAUUAACCACUGAGCCACAAUGGGAACUCUAUGGUGUGUAUUUCUUAAGUGGUUUGUAUUCCACACGUUGCAAUAUCUCAGCAUAGCUCUUAAGACCACACAGAUGCAAGAAAAAUGGGGCUUCCUUCACUCUCCAGAGAGUGAAGGACUGUGCGUGAAUAUUCUUGUGGCAUCUCUAGACCCACAGGGGCCGCUUUAAAAACCAAGAACUGAGUCUUCACACUGGGUCUCAGGUUGUACAGACUGAGCUACUCGCUGAGGGAGGAACGAAUUAAAAUAGCCCAUUUGUGCAAAUACCAGAGUGUGCGGUUAAUCCAGCCCCUCGGGUGCCCAGGUAUUUGGUUAAAUAUUAUUGUGGGUGUGUCUGUGAAGGUAUUUCUGAUGAGAACAGCACUCGGGUCAGUAGAUGCGUAAAGCAGAGGCCUCCCCGGUGUGGGGGGCCUCGCCCCAGCUGCUGAAGGUCUGGAGGAGUGAAGGCUGAGUAUGGGGGCUCUUCUCGCGACCCAACUGUCUUUGAGCAGCGGGGGCGGGGGGCUCCUCCCUCUGCCUUGAGACACAGACUCGGGCUAGAACCACACGGUGAGCUCUCCUGGGCCGGACUGCAUGUCUUGGUGCUUCUCGGCCUCCAAAGUCUCCAGAGCCAAUUUCACACACACACACACACACACACACACACACACACAGAGUCAUUGUGACAGGUUGGGGUUUUGCGUGGUAGUUGCGGGCAUUAAGUUUCCAGUUACGGUGACAUCAGAAUUCUGACGGAGGGAGGAAGGGACGUCCCUGGCGACCGCGUGCUGAUGGCUUCGAGACUAAACAAGCUUUGCUUGGACACCACUGCCCGCGCUGUCCGUGCUCACCGCCCCGGGGCUCCGAGCGGCCUGGUCGAGGUGGUGUCAGGCUGGCAGAGCAAAAUCACUGCUACGUGACUCUCAACUGUGAAAUUCUGCAGUCACACUACGAGUUGCUCCCCUUAACAAUUGUGUGGCUUCCAGACUCCUGGGAA
rnacentral:lncRNA from 1 species